rnacentral:rRNA from 1 species
UACAGAGGGUGCGAGCGUUGUUCGGAAUUAUUGGGCGUAAAGGGCGCGUAGGCGGUGCGGUAAGUCACCUGUGAAAUCUCCUGGCUCAACUGGGAGCUUGCAGGCGAAACUGCCGUGCUGGAGUGUGGGAGAGGUGCGUGGAAUUCCUGGUGUAGCGGUGAAAUGCGUAGAUAUCAGGAGGAACACCCGUGGCGAAAGCGGCGCACUGGACCACAACUGACGCUGAGGCGCGAAAGCUAGGGGAGCAAACAGG